UUUUACAAGCUUUGUCACAAGAAAACAUAACAAAUAAUAAUAAUGAAAUGCAUUACAAAUUGUGACAGAAAAUCACAACAGCUUUUGGCCAAUUUCUGUGAUCCCAAAUGACAAAACGUACGAUUUACAAAUGUACAAGUACCAGCUUGCAUAGCAGGUGUUUCCCCUCUAUACUUUGCUCCUCUGUACAUUUGUAAUUUUCCCGAUACUCACGAUAUGAAUCAAGUAUAAUUAAUAAUAACAGAUAUAUGUACACGCGGGCAGCACGUGAGGUAAACAAGACACUAGGCAUUACACUACUGAUUGUAGAACUAGAAAUGUACACCUGUUUUGGUUGUCCUAGUGAGACUGUCUAAUGACUCGUACACGUGAAUACACAAAAUACACACCUAUAUUCUGGUUGUUGUUAUCCUAGUGGGACCUCGACUGAGAUGGCCUAAUGAAUGACUCGUACACGCGUGAAUACACGAUGAGGAUAUAACUUUUCUCUUUGUACAAAUGUACACCUAUAUUCUAGCUGUUGUUAUCCUAGUGAGACAUCCAGUGAGACUGCCUAAUGAAUGACUCGUACACGUGAAUACACGAUGACACAGGUUAUAGAUAUAACUUUUCUCUUGGUACAAAAUGUACACCUAUAUUCUGGCUGUCGUUAUCCUAGUGAGACAUCCAGUGAGACUGCCUAAUGAAUGACUCGUGAAUACGUGAUGACCCCAGGUUAUGGUAAAACGUAUAUAGGCCCCCUCCCCCCUCUCUCUCUAUUUGCAGGCCUCCUCCUUUUCCUUCGCCUCCCCCUCUCUCCCUCAAUACUGCCUGAUACGCAGCCUAACGCCUAUAUUCUAAAAGUUCACUCACGCUCACAAUCAAAGAGUGGAGGGUUCAAUCUGAGCUUCCCUGGAGUGUCAAUGCUGUUUUUUGAAUAGCUGGAGGAUGAGUAGUCACAUAGAGUACGAAUACAGGCGUAAGUGUUCCUAAAUUAACUCUUUAAAAUCCUCUGCGGAGGAAAGGGAAUCAAACUCCAAAUAAUGCAGCUAGUCAAUUGUUUAAGAUAGAUUCAAUUUUCUCUCUUCACGACAGGCAUGUAGAGAGAAUGAUGUGAGUGUGCUUCAUAUCUAAAUAUUAUUUUAAAAACACAACACAGUAUGCAAUUGCAACUGGACAAUAGCCAUAAACUGCAUGAAUUUAAAAGCAUUGCAGAUUUAUAGUAUGGAGAAAGUCUUAAAAUGGAAAUGGAAUGCUCCUCAGAUUGUAUGCAAUUACAAUUACGCCUACUCUGAAUUCAUUAUGACAUAAUUACUCAUAUACAUACAAGCAUAUCUAACACCUACCACUUCCAAAAACACCCCACCCCCAGGAAAUUCUUGAAAGCCUUUGAAAGCCUUUAAAUAACAGCUGAAUGAAUAGCUGAAUAACAUGAGUACGAAACUGUAGGGCAACCAUGCAUAUUGG